ensembl:lncRNA
GCAGCACUUAGGGGCAGUUUAUAUCAGCCUGCAAGAUAAAACACCUGGGCUAGUAUUGCCAGAGGAGCUGUAAUACUGUGCAAGGAGUACAAUCAGGUCCACAUUGGACACUGUGAAAUAGCAGUAUUCUCUUUUUUCCUCUGUCUGCCCAAGCCCAGAAUCGAAUUGAUUCUGGGGCUUUCAUGAAAUGCCAGCUGCUGGGAGCACAAACCAAAAGCAGACCUGGAAAGAGCAGAAACUGGACCAGAAGCUUUUACUUUCUCUAUACACAGCAUGUAGUUGCACUGAGGUGGGAAGAUGAAGUCAUUUUUCAAACCCUAAUUGGCAACAGUGGACAGGAGAAAGCCUGCAGAACAUAACCCAAGCAAGUCACUGAAGAUUCAGAAGGCUACAGCACAGAGAGAUGUGGUGUCACCCAAGGUCAGCAGCAGAGCUGGAACAACAUCCGGAGUGUCAGUGGUCCCAUAAUCCACAGGCGAUCAAGAGAUAGUGG